rnacentral:rRNA from 1 species
UACAGAGGGGGCAAGCGUUAUUCGGAAUUAUUGGGCGUAAAGGGCGCGUAGGCGGCUUGGCAAGUGGAUGGUGAAAUCCCUCGGCUUAACCGAGGAACUGCCGUCCAAACUGCUUCGCUUGAGACCGGGAGAGGUGAGUGGAAUUCCCAGUGUAGCGGUGAAAUGCGUAGAUAUUGGGAGGAACACCAGUGGCGAAGGCGGCUCACUGGACCAUAACUGACGCUGAGACACGAAAGCGUGGGUAGCAAACAGG